GAACUGAGAGAGCCUCCAGGCUCACGUAGCCUGGGCUAAAGGCUUAUCAGAGGCUAAGCCAGGGGGGGGGGGGGGGGGGGGCAGUAAAGCUAGUCUCAGUCGACCAGAGGUACGGGCACAAGGCCAUCUGUCCAUUUUCUGAAUACAUCUGACAACAAAGGAGGGCAACUCCGCACUCAGGGAAUCAUACACACUCCGAAGCCUCAAACGUUAACUCAUCCUGGAUUGACAAGGCAAGAAGAGUUGGAAAAGAAACUGUUCCCGUCUCUUUAGCAAGUUCCUCUGCUGCUGGAGUGUCAUGGAAAAAGGGACCACAUUUCAUUUAACAGCUUAUAGACAGUCUGUUUGAAGCAUCUAGACCCAAGAGAAGUAUGAAUAUGAAUGAGAAGGAGGGAGGAGUAUGUGAGGGGGGGCUAAAUGUCACCCUCACCAUCCGCCUACUAAUGCAUGGCAAGGAAGUUGGAAGUAUCAUUGGGAAGAAAGGAGAGACUGUCAAAAAAAUGAGAGAGGAAAGUGGAGCCCGGAUUAAUAUAUCUGACGGUUCCAGUCCAGAGCGCAUUGUCACCAUUACCGGACAGUCUGAGGUCAUCUUCAAAGCCUUCGCCAUGAUCGCAGAGAAAUUUGAGGAGGACAUCCUGGCAUCUAUGAUAAACAGCACCGUGAUGAGCAGGCCUCCUGUGACACUGCGCCUCGUCUUCCCUGCCAGUCAGUGCGGUUCACUCAUUGGCAAAGGAGGCUCGAAGAUCAAAGAGAUCAGAGAGAGCACAGGUGCCCAGGUCCAGGUGGCAGGAGACCUACUGCCCGACUCGACUGAGAGAGCCGUAACCAUCUCAGGCACACCUCACGCCAUUACACAAUGCGUGAAACACAUCUGCACCGUCAUGCUGGAGUCUCCACCUAAAGGAGCCACCAUUCCAUACCAUCCCAAACCCACCACCGGUGCCAGCCACUCAGUGUUGGCGCAACCUCAUGCUGCGUCAGCAUUUGCUAUUCCAGGACAGUUUGCCAUUCCACCCCAAGAUUUGACCAAGCUUCACCAGUUGGCUAUGCAGCAUAUCCCCCUUACCUCCCUUGGGCAGAGCAACCCCACCUUCCCUGGUACGUACCCAGAGCUCCCCGGGGAAGUCUGUCUCUCCCUUUGUCUGUCUCUCUGCCUGUCUUUCUCUCGAUCUGUCUCUUUCCCCUCUCCACUCUUUCGUCUGUCGUGUCUGACCACCUCCGUCUCAUGCAUUCACCACCGCAUGUUCUACUUUUCCACUCUGAAGAAAAUGAUGGCGAAGCCGUUUUUGUGGUAAGGUAAAUAAUAUCAUAACACUGGCAACAUAAUGCUGCACAUGCUGUGCCAUGAUACAACCACUAACCAGUCCUGAUAGCUCUAGAUAGUCUGCGUUCGGAUGCCAGCCGACGGCCGACGGCUCCUUUGAGCUGUCUAGAAAUCUCCAAAUGUGUCAUGUCACCAUAACAACAGCAUCAUGAUGGCUACGUGAUGCAUAUGUGUCACCCCCCAGUCUCUCCUUAUAUGUGAAGUCGUCACAAAGGCUUUCACUCAUUUAACAUUCUUCCCCCCUCAUGUCCUCCUCAAAACCCCUGACCUGUUCAAACUGGAAGCAUUAUCCUAAGCAAACCUGAAGCCCACUCUCACAGCAGCCCACAUUUAUCAUGACAAACAAGAGUCCACACAUUGCAAGUGCCAGCCCAUAAUUAUUACCAUGGAAAUAGGGAGUUGAAGAGCGACAGCCUCUCCACAGACGUUUCCGAUAAUGUGCGCUAUUUGGAAAUGCUUUUAUGGGUGUUUUUGAAUCUCAGGCGGAUAUGAAUUAAACAGGAAUUCUUUCAUGACUCACCCGCACAGCAGCCUUAAUGCUUCCAUACACUGGGUCUGGAGGCCUCUAUUGCAACCAGUUCUCAAGAGCUGAGCAUACCUAAUGAUCUCAUAGGCUGCAUCAUUGGCAGACAGGGCAGUAAGAUCAAUGAGAUUCGCCAGAUGUCUGGUGCCCAGAUCAAAAUUGCCGGGGCCACAGACGGUUCGGCAGUGCGCCACAUCACCAUCACAGGCUCCCCAGCCAACAUCAGCCUGGCUCAGUACCUCAUCAGUGCGAG